UUGUAUUGUUUGUAUUGUAGAAUUUCAAAUUUGAUAGAAUUGAUUUUAAUAUUUGAUAUUAAAGUAUUCUGAGAUUAAUAGAUUCUAUACAAUUUGUAACUUUUAAUAAUAUUUAGAUAGAUAAUGUCCACAUUGAAACUAUGAUACGGAUAGCAAAUUUCAUAUUGAUAUUUAUUCAAAUUUUUAAUACCACGAUUAUAUUUGAGAAUAUAAACGAGCGAAAGUUUUUUGCACAAGUUGCAGAUAAGUUUGACUUUUGUUGAACUUCGCAUUUGUGAAAGUGGAUCUUAAAUAUACAUGAUGGAAUUUAAAAUUUAUGAAGAUAGAUGUUUUGUAUAAAUGAUAAUACAUGGGAAAUUACUGAGUAGAAGAUAUUUUAAACAACAUAAAUAUACAUUAUUGAUGAAUGUUCAGAAAUAUUUGUAAACUUUGAAGCGACGCAUCUAAUUGCAUAUCUUUAGCUUUUCGUUCCUUGAUUAUCACGAGGCAGCAGUUAUUUGCAUACAUCGCAUAUCUUCGUUUCAGCGUUUCGAGAGAAAUGAGGUUCGUGAAUAAUUAUUUUACUUUGGUAUUUAU